GCUGGUGGUGGUCGGGGUGUUCUACGCCGCGGGCUUCUGGUGGUUCGACGGCUACCACGCGGUGCAGGCCCGCUACUGGCA
rnacentral:tRNA from 1 species